GAUGAACGCUGGCGGCGUGCUUAACACAUGCAAGUCGAGCGAAGCGCUUAAGUUUGAUUCUUCGGAUGAAGACUUUUGUGACUGAGCGGCGACGGGUGAGUACGCGUGGGUAACCUGCCUCAUACAGGGGGGAUAACAGUUAGAAAUGACUGCUAAUACCGCAUAAGACCACAGGGUCGCAUGACCCGGUGGUAAAAACUCCGGUGGUAUGAGAUGGACCCGCGUCUGAUUAGCUAGUUGGUGAGGUAACGGCCCACCAAGGCGACGAUCGGUAGCCGGACUGAGAGGUUGAACGGCCACAUUGGGACUGAGACACGGCCCAG
rnacentral:rRNA from 1 species